AUUAAUUCGAAUCAACGCGCAGAACCUUACCUGGGCUUGACAUGUAGGUGUUAGUGAUUUGAAAAAUGAGCGAACCUCUUUUGAGGUAGCCUACACAGGUGUUGCAUGGCUGUCGUCAGCUCGUGUCGUGAGAUGUUAGGUUAAGUCCUAUAACGAGCGAAACCCCUAUCGUUAGUUGCCAGCAAGUUAUGUUGGGGACUCUAGCGAGACUGCCGGUGUUAAACCGGAGGAAGGUGGGGAUGAC
rnacentral:rRNA from 1 species